UUUUGAUUUGUAAAAAUUCAUUAUUUACUAAAGUAUUAUGAAAAAGAUUAUUUGUUGUAAUAGUAUUUUAUAUAUUUAAAACUUAAAAAGUUUGGCGGUUUUACAUAUCCAGUUAGGGGAGUUUGUUAAUUAAAUUGAUGAUCCACAUUUUAAACUUACUUUUAUUAGUUGUACUAUAUUCAGUUUGUGUAUUGCUGUCGUUGGUUUAUAUUUUAUAAAUGAUUAAAAGACUGGUAAAUAUAUUAAUUUAUAUGUCAAGUCAUAAUGCAGCUUAUAUAAAAGGUUUAAUGGGCUACUAUAAUUAAUAUUAUUAAAUAUCCGGAUUUUAAAGAUUAUAUUUUAUAAGAAAGGGGGACUUAAUAGUAAAUGGAUAAUUAGUAUGUGUUGUUGAAUAAUAGGUUUUGUAGAGUG
rnacentral:rRNA from 1 species